rnacentral:rRNA from 1 species
UACGUAGGGGGCAAGCGUUGUCCGGAUUUAUUGGGCGUAAAGAGCGUGUAGGCGGCCAGGUAGGUCUGCUGUGAAAACUCGAGGCUUAACCUCGAGAUGUCGGCGGAAACCAUCUGGCUAGAGUCCGGAAGAGGAGAGCGGAAUUCCUGGUGUAGCGGUGAAAUGCGCAGAUAUCAGGAGGAACACCAAUAGCGAAGGCAGCUCGCUGGGACGUUACUGACACUGAGGCGCGAAAGCGUGGGGAGCAAACAGG